CCCCUCCCCCAAACUUAUUACAGAACAUAAGUUCGAAAAUAAGUUUGGAGGGAUGAUGAUAUGUGUGUCACUACUCACAGAAACACAUGCUCCACGGUGGUGAUAUGAACAAGGCGCGAGUUCCCGCAUCUUCCAAGCUCAACACUGCACUAAAAACCCCAAACAAAACAACGAAACAAAAAGAAACAAAACGAAACUAAAAGAACGAAAAACAAAAAACAAAGAAAAAUAGUUGGGUUACCUCCCAACAAGUGCUUAAUUUAACGUCUAGAGCUCGACGAUACCUCAUGGUCUCAAUGAACAUCAAACGCAGAGGGCGUGACAGACUGCCUAACACGAACAGAGACAGAGGACUCAUGCGCAUCAGCUGCGUGAAAGACGACGCUUCCAUUGGGCACAUCUAUCAUAGC
rnacentral:lncRNA from 1 species